rnacentral:misc_RNA from 1 species
ACGGUAGAUUUUCAGUUUCUCGUAAGAAACAUCAUGCUUUUGAAAUAACAAUUGGAGUUGGAAGUUGGAGUCUUGGAGAUACACUCUUAUUUGAAAAAGAAGGAGAUCUCAUUACAGCUCUCAGUGUCGAAUGGUUAACUUGCUAACCUUCGAGAACUCGCAGCAUUAAUAGGAGAAAUUCCUGGACACUCUAUUCAUCCGCUCUUCCGCAAGAAACGCCUAAAACAGGUAAAGUCGAAUUCGUGUAUUUCAACAAUUUUUAAGGCACCUAAUAAAAUACGAAUUUAAAUAAAAUUAGCUGGGAUUGAUCUUAACAUAUAUCUCGAAUAUACAAGCGAUGAAUUUGUAAUAUAGAAACUAUUGUACGAUUCUCUCUCAUUUACUCGUGAGGCUUCAGUAAGCUAACGACGAGAGAACUAAAGUUGUACGUAUGCGUGUGUUUCAUAUUUAGCAAACGUUCCCCGUUGCGUCAUGCAAAAUGUAACAUUUCUGGGAAAUGUAGAGGAAUAUGUAUUCUCGACGUAUUUAAGAAAGAGUCGGAAACUCGCGUUCUCAUCAAUAAUACCCAAUUUUUCAUCACGCGAAAAGAAUGUUAGCGUCUAUUUUUUAUUUAAAAAAAAAAAAAGCAGAAAAAAGGAUUCUAGAGGCUCGUGAAGUUGAAGUCUCGAUGAACUUCGAAACGUCGAGCUUCCUCGGUUCUCAUUAUCAGGGGAGAUCGAAGUCCGAAACUACUAAUUUUUCGGUAUUUCUCCACGUCAACUAGCCGAGCGAAGUUGACGAGGGUCAUCGCGGCCGAAGACGUUGUUUCGCGAUCAAUACACCCCGUAGACGUAAACGCCGUCGGCCGACGUGGCGAAAAGGCGAGGUGGACACGAGGUAUUUCCCGGAGAAUGAAAUCCCGAGUCAUCGAUAACGGCGACGGCGGCGACGGAAGCGGAUCGACAGUAAUUGGCGGCUGCCGGAGUCUGGCCGCCGUCGGCUGCGAACUUUGAACUUUCGAAAAAUAGUUACAAUAGCGACAAUCGAUAGGGCGACGAGAGACGGGACACCUGGACACGUGCGAAAUGGAAUCGAGAGGGGGAGAAGGGGGGUGUCCGGUCGGCGACAUUUCGCUGACAUUCGAUCGGCGGGAUCGAUCGGUCGCCGCGGGCGACAAACGCUGACGACGACGACGACAAUGAUGACGACGAGGGCGAGGGGGUAGACGUGGUGGAUCGUAGGUGCGGCAGGUGGUGCUCGCGUGUUUCGCGAAAAAGAAAAGCGCGGAAGUUCAACGCGAGUCUCUCUCGGCGUAACAGGUGGUUAAACAGGGCUGUAAAGCAGCUCUCGCAAGCGGUACAAGAGGGAUCGGGGGGGGGGGGAGAGGGGAGAAAGGGGGACGGGAGAGGGUUGCAUCGGGGGAGGAAGUCGAGGGAAAGGUUAAAAAGGUCGGACCUCGCGGGAGAUGCAGCCGGGAGAUCUUCGCGGCUUCAUUCCUGCUCCCCCCCGCCCCCUUUUCCUUAUACUCGCGCAAUAAUUCGCGAAUCGUGAAUUAAUUGCCGCCCGCGGAUCGUUUCGCGCGUCGCUCCCGCGACUUACGCGCUCGUUCGCGGGAAAUCGAACGACGAGCGUAAAACGGGCGGGUCACCGCUGAAAGGAAAAAUACGAUCGUGCGCGUUAUCGGCGCUUAGCCGCGAAAUUUAUCACGGGGCGGGAGAUAUUUGGGGGAUUAUCGCGAGCGCCGAAAUACCACCGGUAUCGCGGUAGUUAAAAUUAAUUAGAGUCGCGCAGAACGAGGUGCGCGAAAUUCUCCGCGUUAAAAAAAAAAAAAAAAAAAACGAAAGAAAUAUCUUUCUAGAGAAUUGCCGCGUAAAUCGGCAUAACGACAACGACGGCAAAUCCAUUCCGGACUAUUUAGGUAUCGCGGUAAUUACACGCGUUGUAAUCAAGAUACGUCGAAUAACGGCCAAUCCUUAGGGGCCGAAAUGAACGUUUUAUCUCGACGCGACAAUUGCGAAAUUAAC